UAAAAUACACAACAAGAUGUGACCUAGAUCAUAUG
rnacentral:guide_RNA from 1 species